GCCACACCCACGGGAUGUGGAAGUUCAGGCCAGCGGUCAAAUCCAAGCGUACAGGCAGCAAGGGGGAAAUCACUUGGGGGGAAAAUGUAGAAGAGGUUCCACUUGAUGCUCUCCGACAGUCCUGAUAGUCAGCUUAUGGAUUCCACAAACAUGUGUUUUCCGUCAAGUGGAAAUAAUCAAGAAGGACCAAUUCAGGAGCAGCUCCAAGGAUGGAGCUUCCUUGUGAGCUGGGGUCCCGCAGACCCUACUUCCCUGUUGAGUCUCAGGUAUGGGCUGCAGGGAUCCCCCGAACAUCUAUGGGGCUGUUUGCUACAGAGCCGUCCAGGCAGGAACACUAGGCACCGUCAUUUCUCAGAUGUGAAAAAGCCCAUUUCUUUGGGUCUAAGCAGAGUAUAAAGAGAGGCCAUGCUUUCCCAGCAUUUCCAGAGAGAGCUUUUAAACAAGAGGACUAGUUCUCACAAGUACGCCCCAAACAAAGCACAUUGAUAAAAAUCACUGCUUGUUUUCCCAACAUCAUUAUCCUGCGGGAACCGGCAUUUCUCUUACUUUAGUUAAACCUUGCAUUCCUGGAUCAAGCUUCAGGGGAGAAAACCAUCCUGUUCACAAGUGUUUUCUCUUCUCCCAGGGUCCCACCUUUGGGCCUGGAACUUUCUUUUCACCUAGAUUUCCUUAAAGAGGUUGGGAGAUUGGAUUCUCACAAACCCCCCAGGAGGCUGUUCCUAGUUUCUUGGCAAUUUUCAUUUCUGCAAAUGAGAGCGCAGGGGCCAUUUGAAUCACUCAUAAUCCACAUUGGCUGGAAAUGUUCUUGUGGGUUUGUUUAUUCCGUCUCAAAAUUUCCCAAGUCUUCCCUCCCCUUUCUUUGCUGCCCUUCCUCUCCUGUGUGUCUGUACUAGCCUUUGUGGUCUCUACUGCAGGCCCCGGGCCAAGGCAAAAACAGAUUCUUUUCAUCUAUUCAAGUGUGAUCUGGGCCAGACAAGCCUGCUCCACAGGCCAGAGGCACAGAAAAGUAUUCUGUAUUCAGCUUUCAGCUCUGCAGACUCUAUAGCAGGGGCCCUGCCCUUGGCAAGGCCACAGCAGUGACCAGGGCCAUUUGGCAGACACGGAAAUGCUGUUUAUUUGGCCCCUGCUCGCCACCUGGAUGGAGCACCUUGGUAGGAGGAGUUGCAGGAACAGUGCAUCCUGUUCCAACCACUUCCUCUAAAUGCAUGCCCAAUUUUUUUUUAAAAAAAAAACCUUCUUUGGGAGUUCCCUGAUGGCUCAGUGGAUUAAAGAUCUGGUGUUGUCCCUGCUGUGGUUUGGGUUCGAUCCCUGGCCUGGGAAUUUCUGCUUGCCUAAAAAAAUCACUCCUCAAACCUUCUUCACCUCCCAAAGCAGCAAUUUCUAACGUGAGGCACUAGCUAAAUUUAGAGAGCAUUACGGUUGCUCUCAUGGAGUUGAUUAAUGUAAUGAUAAUAAAGCUGGUAUGUUAGCAUGUCGCAAUCAGCAGAGCUCCCUACCUGUCUUUAAUACAUAGCGGAGUCACGGCUUGAGGUAUGAUUAAUAGGAGAAGAGAACUAAGUGAAAAUAGAGAUUGAGGUAUCUAAGGAGACCUUUCCUUUGUGUCAAUUUACUAAAAAUAUGCUUUUUCUCUAGCGCCUUGGAAAAUUGCACCUCAAACUGAGUAUGAUAAUGUUAUUCAAAUAAGAGAGCCCACUAUCCCUUUUAUUAUUCAACAAUAUUCUAAAUGUGCUUUAUGAGAAUAAGCUAAGAAUUACAAGCAUUGGCAAGGGGGCAGCACAAUUAUCAUUGUUUGAUUAUAAUAUUGCAUUUCUGGAAAAACUAGAAACAACUAUUAUAAAAAUUCAGUAAGAUGGGAGGUUAUUGGAUAAAUACACACACUCUUUCUUAUAUUAAAAAAAAUGACCAAUUAGAAAAUAAAAAUGGAAACAACUCCUGUUACCAACAACAAAAAUGUAAAUUACCCAAGAAUAAACUGACAAAAAAUGUGUAGUAUCUAAAUGAAGGAUCCUGUAACACUAAGGAAAGUUUAAAAAAAAAGACUCAUUCUUGGGUAGUAAAUCUCAGUAUUGUAAGGAUGUCAAUUUUUCCCCAAACAAAUCUAUAAAUGGAAUGAAUUCCAACCAAAAUUUUAACAAGAUAAUAUUUGGAAGAAUACUAGGAAAAAAAGAUUCUGUUAAAGGAUAAUUUUCAAAAAGGUAAUAUCAUAACUAUCCAGCAAAUACAAAAUGAACAUGUGUCAAAAUCAUUAAUGAAGUAACCAGUAAGAUGUCAUGAUCAAUUGAGAGAGCAUUUGAAAAAUUUAUUAUAUAUAAUUAUUUUAACAGGGAAAUGUUAGGAUAAGGUUGUCAAGUUUGAUUUUCUUUAAAAAAACUGUUUGGGAGUUCCCGUUGUGGCUCAGUGGAAACGAAUCUGACUAGUAUCCAUGAGGACAAAGAUUUGAUCCCUGACCUUGCUAAGUGGGUUAGGGAUCUGGUGUUGCCGUGAGUUGUGGCAUUGGUUGCAGAUGAGGCUUGGAUCUGGAGAUGCUGUGGCUAUGGUUUAGGCCAAUGGCUACAGCUCUGAUUUGACCCUUAGCCUGGGAACCUCCAUAUGCCAAGGGUGCAAGCUUAAAGGACAACAACAACAACAAAAAAACUGUUUAAUGGCCAAUAGGCCAUAAAUCUUGGAGGUGAUCUGUCUUGCAAGACAGAAAUUAUAUGCACCUCCACCAGACAAAAAUCUAGAAUUCAGCAAGUAAUUUCACUAAGUCUGGAGACUUUAAUCAAGAGUAAACAAUGAACUAAGUACAUUUCCCUGCAUUUGUAAGGUGAAAUGACAUUGAAAGGAUGGGCUGCUCACCCUGGUCUUAUUUCCAUGACUCGGAUGAUUUUUCUAAACAUUCUAGUAGUUCUCUGGUGGAGUUCCCGUUGUGGCUCAGUGGUUAAUGAAUCCCGACUAGGAACCAUGAGGUUGCGGGUUCCAUCCCUGGCCUUGCUUAGUGGGUUCAGGAUCCGGCGUUGCCAUGAGCUGUGGUGUAGGUCACAGAUGAGGCUCGGAUCUGGCGUUGCUGUGGCCGUGGUAUAGGCUGGUGGCCACAGCUCUGAGUAGACCCCAUGGAGGUCUGGGAACCUCCAUGUGCCACAGGUACAGCCCUAGAAAAGGCAAAAAGACUAAAUAAAUAAAUAAAUAAAUAAAAAUUCUAAAGAUCAUCAAAAGAAUAAACUUAAGACUAAGUAAGUAAUUUUUGAAAAAAAAACAGAAACAAGGGAAGGGCAAUUUGCUGAAUGGACUAAAAUAAUAGGUAAUAACACCUGUAACACACAGGACAGUACCUUACCUUAGUCGGAUUUGUGAGAGUUUGAUGUCCAUUUUCACUGCUGUUCCUGCUUGGAAACUUGGGCGAUACAUGUCUUUCUGUCUUCUGGCACCCUCUGUCUGUCUGUCUCUCUCAGACCUGCAGCAAUCAAGCAAGCUGACUGCCCCGCCACUUCCCCCACACCCAGCCCCACCAUUUCCAAUCCAGCACAUCACUAAAGUCCUAAUGAUGAUAGGCUUCAACUCCCAUUUAGCCCAGUCCUCUGCUUUUAUACACCAUUAGCCAGAACCCUGAGGCGGGGAGGUGUGCACAACUUUCUAACAGUGAUCAUGAGGUUCAUAGCAGCCUUUUACACCCAAGGGAGACUGUUUUUUGGGGGAAAUAUUUUUGGGUGAAGUCUUUUCUUAGAUUCUGAGAACUGGAGCAAAUUCUUUUCUAUCUUCCAGUGUUUUUAGGAGUAAAUUUAUAUACAUCAUUGAUACCCAAAGAUGGAGCAUCUCCUUUUUUUUUUUUUUCUUUUCUUUAUUACUCUUUUAAUAGCCAUUUGGUCAAACGAUGCACUGGAAGACGGUGGAAGUAAAUUAAUCGCGAGAUCUGAGAUUUCAUCCUGAACCUGCCUGGGUAACAUCCCAGAUGUGAUUUCUCACUGGUGAAGAUUAAGAGGACUGGACUCCUCAGAGUUCUUUCUGCUCUGCGUGCACUGCUGCUGUUCUUCAAUCACAGGCUCUCCUGUGGGCUGAACAUGGCCAAGGAAAGCACAUCACUCUCAAGUCUCAAAAGCUCUUUUUCCUGUGCCUCUUGAACUAGUUUCAUAUUGGCAGUGUUGCCCUUGGGGGUUAGGUUAGAGAUAUCAGACGCUUACCCCUUCCUGGGGUUCUUGCCAGUAGAAUAAAAGUCAGGAGUUCCCACUGUAGCACAGUGGGUGAAUGAUCUGCCUUGUCUUUAUGGUGGCUCCAGUUUGAUUCCCAGCCCAGGAACUUCCAUAUGCUGCAGGUGCAGCCAAAAAGAAAGAGAGAAAAAAUAAAAAUCAAAAAGUAUUCUGAACAGGGGUCAAAGCCCUCUAGUAAUGGCUACACAAAGAAUUUAUCUAAUUCUUAUAUAGACCAAGGUUCGUUUCUGACUGACCCAGAAUUCUAGGCUAACCCACCAUUUCCUUACUAAAUUAGUUAAUCUCUUCUAAAAGAUAAUUCCCAAAUCUCUACUAAGCAGCCUUUCCUCUUGGAAUAUCACUUCAACAUUCAGGAAGCUGAACGUUCUUGGUAACAAUGUGUGGUUGUAAUCCUCGGGGAUACAGUUUAUUUUCCUUCAUUAUAACAGGUCAGAGCUUUCCUCUUGGCCAUUUGGUAUCUUCUUCAGGAAAGAAACAGAGACUGUGUCACUAGCUUGCUCAGAUCUCAGUGAGAAGUGAAAAGUUUAAGCAUUCCAAUGCUUUGCCUACGAGCCUGAAACUAUUCAGGUGAUUGACACAAUUUUCAUGUUUCACUCAAGUGUUCUGUGCAGGUAAAUAGAGCUGGACUGACUUGGUUUAGAACUUGGUUUUGGCCAUCUAAGCGGCUCUCCUGCCACUGUGUGAAAACAGACCAAAGAAUGAUUUAAGAUUUAUAUGUAUCUUGAAGGUUUGGUUGGAAAUAUUAAAUAUCUCAGCUUAUCUAUCCUGCAAUCCCUACCUGACUUAAAAUAUAAAUUAGAAGUUCCCGUUAUGGCUCAGUGGAAAUGAAUCUGACUAGUAUCCAUGAUCAACACAGGUUCGAUCCCUGGCCUCGCUCAGUGGGU
rnacentral:lncRNA from 1 species